rnacentral:rRNA from 2 species
GGGGUUUCCGCCCCUUAGUGCUGCAGCUAACGCAUUAAGCACUCCGCCUGGGGAGUGCGACCGCAAGGUUGAAACUCAAAGGAAUUGACGGGGACCCCGCACAAGCGGUGGAGCAUGUGGUUUAAUUCGAAGCAACGCGAAGAACCUUACCAAAUCUUGACAUCCUUUGACCGCUCUAGAGAUAGAGUCUUCCCCUUCGGGGGACAAAGUGACAGGUGGUGCAUGGUUGUCGUCAGCUCGUGUCGUGAGAUGUUGGGUUAAGUCCCGCAACGAGCGCAACCCUUAAGCUUAGUUGCCAUCAUUAAGUUGGGCACUCUAGGUUGACUGCCGGUGACAAACCGGAGGAAGGUGGGGAUGACGUCAAAUCAUCAUGCCCCUUAUGAUUUGGGCUACACACGUGCUACAAUGGAUAAUACAAAGGGCAGCGAAUCCGCGAGGCCAAGCAAAUCCCAUAAAAUUAUUCUCAGUUCGGAUUGUAGUCUGCAACUCGACUACAUGAAGCUGGAAUCGCUAGUAAUCGUAGAUCAGCAUGCUACGGUGAAUACGUUCCCGGGUCUUGUACACACCGCCCGUCACACCACGAGAGUUUGUAACACCCGAAUCCGGUGGAGUAACCUUUUAGGAGCUAGCCGUCGAAGGUGG